rnacentral:lncRNA from 1 species
AACACUGUCGAUAACAAUCUUAGGUGGAGGUACAUUGAAUUUCUCUGCGUACUCUCGUUUAGCUUCAUCGAUAAUAGUUUCCACCAGCUUACGAUCCACCUCUCGGCACCUCAACAACACCGACGGUUCCCUCAGCCGAACCAGACUCUGCACCACCAAUGCCUUCACCAGGUUUUUAUAUCCCCUUUUGUCAGUGCCCAAACGCUGCAGCUCUUUCCUCGCGCUUUCUUUUAUGGAGUUCACCAACUCUUCCUGCCCUUGCAGCACUUUUAUCCUCGACGCAUUCAACUGCAUAGAGUACUCACUGCACGUAUCAAUUCAUUUCCACGUUUCAUCAUUCAUCUCAUGUGCACAAAAACUUUAAUUAAGUACACUCAUUCACUCACAUUUUCUUGCGUAUUUCCACCUGCUUUGCCUUGCGCUCGUACUCUUGUUUAAUCUUUCUCCUUUCAGCUUCUACGAUUUGCAGCUUUUCAAUGUUGAAUUCUUCUUCAGCAGAUACUGAAAUCUCAUUGGCUUUCUCCUCAGCUUCUUGGCGGAUGAAUCUCACCAUUUGCUGGAUUUGCUUCGAUACAUCCCCGUCGUUCAUUUUUGCUCCCUUUUCUUAGCAAACGAACAAAUUGAUUAAAUUGCCAAGGAUUUUUAUUUUAUCAACAAAUUAAUCAAAUUUCAAAUAUA